ensembl:lncRNA
GCACCUCUUUACUCAAAGGGGCACAAUUCCAAAUCCAAAGCACAUUUAAUAUUAAGUGAUCCCACACAUGGAAGGGAUAAUGAGAACAGCUGAGCUAGUGGCUAAUGGUGCAAUCAGAACAAACAAUAGCAACAAUGCUGAGUGAGCCAACCACGUGAUCCUGGAGGGGACACCACGAUACGCUGUAAGUGCAGAUGAGAGGGACUGCAUUCUCUGCUCACUCAGGUAGCCAUUACUCCAUUAUAUUUACAUUUGAAAAAAAUGUUUUCUGUUUCAUCGAUGCUAUGAAUAUCAAGUACAGCACAAUUUGGUUUUAGUAAAAUUAGGUCCACAAUUGAGUUUACGCUAAGGUAUGUGAUGAUACUGAGAGGUAUUUACUUAUUUUUUCAGUUAUUAAUUCCUGAACUGACUGCCAGCUGUCCUAUCGUUGCCUGCUGGAAAUCUUAAACUUAACCAGUUUAGGGAGACACUGCAUUCACUGAUCUAAUCCUUCAUAUUUCCUCUAAGAUCACUUCACUACACCUAAGCGACAAAGGGCUUUCCUAUACCUGUAACAAAUCAGUGUGUGUCUAGUUGACAUUCCCCUGCCCACACACACAUACACAAAUACACACGUGCUGGUUCACCUUCUCUGGCACCACAAAGUCUCAGUGUGAAAGGUGGGAUAAUUAAUGCCAUUAAACAUGAUGAUUAGCUGCAAUAGCAUCAUUGACGAUGUUUUUAUAAUAAAAUGAUGGAUUAUAUUCAUUAGUGCAGCAGUUUGUCACUGCACGAAGAAUUUAAUUUUUAAAAACAAUGGGAACCAAUUACUUCACACCUGCAGUACAACCAACGGAUGACUACAUUUCUGAAAGUAAUAAUGUUAUGAUUGGAAAAGUUUUACUUCUUAAACCAGCAUUUAAUUAUUUUUUGGCCACCUGGGGGAAGAAGAAACCAGAUUCAAGUGCUAAUUCUCUGUUGGUGUCCCUACGGUCAACCCCUCUCAUGUUUUUAUAUCAUCAUUUCUAUUGUAAAAUAUUACAAACAAACAAGGAUUUUUUUUAUAAUUAUUCAUCUCCAUUUUUAAUACACAUUUUACAUUCAGUAAUUGUCUCUGUUAGUUUUUAAUGGUGGAUUUGGAUGCCUACCUGAUGAAAACGUUUUUUUUUAGAUCAAAUCAUUCAUAAAACUAAAAACACAGCACGGUAAAAGUCCGGCAUUAAAAUGCUUACUUCGAGUGAAAAAAGAAAGAGGCAACUUUAGCAUAAUUUACUUAAAUCUGAUUAUUCAUGUUUCUUUAAGUCGGAGCUUCCCAUUUUGAAUUGAUGCUGGAGGGUUUAAUGAAUAAUAAAGGCACCAAAUCAAGUCAAUUCUACAUCUGCAAUGUAACCCGUCCCUCUCACACAUAGUACUACAAUGUUUUCAUGUGAAGUAAAAGUAACCAGUUACAGCUGAGUUUCUUUGAAAUAUUUAAGGGCCUAUUGUUAUCUCAGGCUGCAAUGAGCCUCAGUAACGUCAUUCAAUACUUUUCAUAGCUAAAAUUCUUAAUAAAGAGAGGUACAUUAGGCAGGUGUGUGGAUGAGCAGCAAUCAGUUAGCCACACGCAUCAGACAGACAUAGAAAAUAGGAGACAUCGGCUUUCUACACCUGAACGGUAUAACGGACAAUGCUCCCCUGUACUUGUCCCUUACUAAUAUGUAAUGAAUAAAUAAUAAAUGUGUGACCUGUGACCUGUUUCUUCCUGAGGGAGACAAUUGUCCUCAUAUUUAGUACUCAUGGUGACUCACCACUAUCAUAAACCAUACAAAGUAAUUGUGUGUAUGUGUGGUGACAGUUUCCCGUGGUAAUAAAGUGCAGGAAUGGUUCGGUUUGCCACACGUCGGUUUUAAACCAUGCCAUCUGGUACCACGGUACAGAAUUGUGUGUGUGUGUGUGUGUUUCAGAAAGAAGUCAGAAUAAUUGUGCAGUUUACCAACAUUUGCAUACCAGAUAGAAACAAAAUGAUACUCUGUGCAGCAAUAUGUGUGUUUUCUCUUGAGAUGUAUCUUUGGGAGAGAGAGAUAAACAAGGUGUUAUCCUCUGACCUUGCAGAGUAGCACCAAGAGGCAAAGCAACAUUGGUAGUUACUCAACAGUGUCAGAGGGGCAGUGAUUUACUUGUGUAUCUGUGUGUUCUGUUCACCCACCUGCUGUAUCUAUCCACAGGAACAACCGCAGCAGUUUCACCAACCCGAACACACAUUAAAAAGGGAGGGAGAGGAUGGGUAUACAAUUGAACAAAUGUAUAGAUUGUGUUCAUGAUGAAACUGAUAAUUAAACAUCUUUGAGGGAGCUCCAGUGUGAGCAGUCAAUAAAAGAUGCAGCUGCCCUGGGGCUGAUAAAAACAUUACUGCAGGGCAGGUGUAAUGAUGCGUAAUCUAUAUAUCCAUUUAUUCAUUAGGUUUGAUUAACAUGAACACACUCUGAGAAGACGGGCCAUGUACUGUACGCUACAUUUUCCGCCAUCUCAAGUGUCAGAUUUGAUAAAAAAAACAAAUAGAAUGCUUGACAUGACAGGCAGCGCAUUAUUUGUGAUAAGCUGCAUGUGGCUCGGUUGGGAGUAGGCCGGGCACGGUGGUGCUUCCAGACCGAUCCAUAUCACGCAGUACAGCAGACAUCUACGAUUCAGUUGUUCCACCACAGCUUGUUAUCUGCAAGCGGGGUCCACUUCUGCAAGCACAAACACACUGCUGGAAAUGUUAUAAGCCGGUAUGUCUGCCUUUAACGGUGCAGUGACCAGAAUACAGCUUCAGCAUCUCAUCACUGGCAUGAGAGGGAGGUUUUAUGGGGAAGUGUAGGUGCAGCGGAUGUAAAGCUUAGGCUUAAAAAGAACCCUGCAGGGACUAGAAUCCACAAAACUGUUUGUUCUCAUUAGUGUGUAUAUUACUAUCAUAUGUGACCAAGACUCAGUGCUGACCAACAAUUUCACUUCUUCCUUUUAACACUUUGUUUGUCAUUGCAAUCAGUUUUCCAAAACGGGUUUAGAUUAGUCUUUUUUUACAUGUAUUCUUUCUGUGUCACAGUUGGUUAUUGGACUUGAGGUACUGUGUUAAGGUCCCAUUUGUUAUUCACCCAUGCGCUUGUGGUGUAAUGGUUUCCUAUCCUACCGGCAACGCCACUUGGGAUAGGCCCAAGACCUUUUAAAGCACACAGGUUCGUUCCACCCAAUAGGCAAGGGCUCGUGGUUCCCAGUUUACAAAAACAUUUUUAUUCAAUAAAUAUACAUUGCCGUAAAAUCUAACAUUUCAUCACAAAAAUGAGAAAAGGAAACUAAUCGCUAAGGCCUAAUGGUGAGAAGCGCCGAUGAAGGGGAAGGAAAAUUAAUAGAACAAACUUAGAGAAAACCAAACCAGAGUUCACCCAGUGAUAGCACAACAAUCCAAUGGGACACGACACACGAGGAAGACCACCACCACCCACACCACCGGCGCCACCACCAGCCUACAGCCGCUAGGAAGGAUGACAAAAAAAGGUUACAAGAGGAUUAAACCAAAAAUUUACAACACAAAACAGAAAAAGAAAAUAAUUCACAUAAAAAUCAUCCUAAUGAAACAAUUCACGUAACCCAAACAAAAAGAAAAUAAGUGAAACAAACCAAAAGAAAUACAAACUAAAGGAUUAACUACUCAGUCGAGCUAGAAUCAACAACUACACAGGUCCAAGUCUGGUGCCGGCAAUAGACAUGCUAGGUACGUCGCGGCGGAGACCAAACUGCACUUAACAGCUUUUAACAGGGCAGACAGUUACAGACAAGGUUACAUGUAGCAGCAGCCAAAGUUGCAGGCAAAGCAGCAGUGGCCCCAAUCAACUGAGUGUUGUCACAUCAAUCACCACCUGUGGAUUUCGGCCAGCUGAUGAGCAUUCCCUGUCAAUGAACAUAAAGUUAGCAUUGCCAAACUACAUGUCAAAGCUUUUUGGAAGCUAGUUUUAAAGUCAUGUACCUGUUUCCCAGGUCAAACCUGCACAGGGAGAGGGAGGGAGAGAAAGACCCACACGGCAGGAAGACAUCUACCUGUGACCACAAUAACGUUAGCUACAGAAUAUCGUUCGGUCUAACACGGAGAGGACCCAAGAGCAAAAAGGGGCACGGAGUCCUCUGUCGCUACUCUGCGCGGACAGACACCUGACCCGGAAAUGAUGCAUCAGUGGGGCGCGAGAAGGGGGGCAGCCUUUAUAUACUACCGCCGCCCUAGUGGUCGGCAGGCGCAGUUAACUGUAGCAGGACAAUCCUAUUUCCAUACUGCUACACACUUAUCCAGGUAAUGGCUUUAACCAGCCAAACGUUUGAGCUGGUGUGUAAAUUACACAAUGGAAAUUGGGGGUGUAAAAGCCCGUUAUAGGUCAAGCUCUCACAGGGCCAACUGCCAGUUCAAUGUUCCUCAGAUACCUCCAGAGAAAAGUAUCCCUAGGGCUACCUAGUCUGAUAUCCGUAACUCCCAAAAUAGCUCCUUUAAAAGCGAAGGGGCCAUAGUUUUACCUCAGGUCCUCUGAGGAUGAGUGUCACGGGAUGCGUGGAAAGGCAGGACUCAAAUGCAGAGUUCUUCAACAAAAAGACUUUAAAUAGUCAUAAAGCGGGGAGCGGGGGCUGGAGGCGUCAGGGACAUCAGUCUCGGAGCGGGGACUGGAGGCGUCGGGGUCUGGAGUCUCGAAGCUGGGACUGGAGGCGUCGGGGUCUGGAGUCUCGGAGCGGGAACUGGAGGCGUCGGGGUCUGGAGUCUCGGAGCGGGGACUGCUUGUCACACCGUGACAAUAAGCACUAACACACUGUACAUACAACAAAAAUUAAUAUUAAUGUCUUAGAGGGUUGAAAGGUGGAUCAGCAGGUGAUUCUAGUUAUUUUAUCUGCGGUACACCAGCUCCCUCUUCACUUGCAAAAGUCUUUACGUUGCUUAAAACACCGCUGCUGCCAUCACACCAAUCUGUCUAUGGAUCUCAUGGGUGACCUCAACUCAACUCAUUACAAAGACCCAGGGACAACUGUAGUACACCACUUGGGGUGCCAAUUAUUUCCCAAAGGGGACAACCUAGAUUUAUUUUUACAGUAGCCUCAGUCUUAAAAUUGAUGAGUCUCAUGUAACUUCACACUUGGUUAUACCCGGCCCAGCUUUAGCUGAACGUCUGAGGUCAAUGGAGGCAACGGAAUUCCCUUAAAAAUUCACCAAACUUUCUCCACUCUUAGGUCACACCUGUCUAUGAAAGUCACAAAUGGUAAUAAGGUGCAAACUUUUGCUAAAUGAAGUCAUAGUUUUCAUCACAGUAAAAUACACAUUGGACAAUGUGCCCCAUAUGUGUGUACCCGUCUUAAACAUAUUGUGUGUGUUGUGUGGUUAUAGGUCUUCUCUAAAUCCCUCAAAACUCCCAUGACCUCUUCAGAGUUCAAAUAGUAAACAGGUGUUCUGAGCCUGCAUCGUUCCCCGUUGGGUCUGCUGCAUACUCUGUUCUUUGUUUAAUACCGGUGUAAUGUAUGUAGUGUAUGUCUUAAUGUAAGUUUGCAACUUUUCUAUUAGAUUUCUCUUCUGGGUACCUGGCACACAGGUGUGCGGUGUCUCAAAGGUUAAUUUAGCAGAUAAGGGUAUGUGUGUUGGAGAACUAAGCAAAUGCAGAGAACAUUCUGAACAAAGAUGAGGCAUAUAAUACAACUGAUUACAAACAGACAUUGAACCAGAGACUUCUGGUAAAAAACAGUUUACUCGAAGUUUCUUAGGCAAUGACAUACUAAAAGACCCGAAGAUCUUACCCUGACUGGUGUCAGCAACCCAUACAAAAAGUGACUAACUGAAUGACUAACUGACUCCAUGAAAGACACACUCAACAUUACAUACCAAACAGAGUAUGUUCACUGACAGUCCACCUUUAAAAUCCAGGGGAACGCAUAUGUCAACAACGAUAGAGAAUUUAUAAACUGCGAGUGAGGUGCUAUGAAUUUGUUUAAUUCAUAUCGAUAACCGAGUGGGACUUAUCUGGUUGUGGGGCGGUGAAGAUAACAUGGACACACACCCCUAAGAACCGUGCACAGACUAGACACACUAAAGAGAUGCUCAAAUGCAAGACAACACACAUUCACAACAACGCGAAGAUACAAAGUGCACACACAGAACAGAUACUUGUUUCCAUCCUCAGAAAGCAGGUAUGAGACAGCUUAGAGACAAAGUAUCCUGUCCAAAUGCUAAGACAUAGAUAUAGAUAGGUCAAGUCGCUUUAUUGGCUCAUGUCUUAUUUGUGGGCACCAUAGACUCAGACCUACAUAUACAGUAGUGUGGCCAUGCUGCUGCACAGAGGCAGUCUUUGGUUAUGAAGUGACACCGAUGCUGUCGAUGCAAUCUUCUAUUC